CGGGACGGGUGGAGUAAUGUCGUAGGGAAACGUCGCCUGAGGGAGGGGGAGUACUACUGGAAACGGUAGCUAAUACCGCAUAACGUCGCAAGACCAAAGAGGGGGACCUUCGGGCCUCUUGCCAUCGGAUGUGCCCAGAUGGGAUUAGCUAGUAGGUGGGGUAACGGCUCACCUAGGCGACGAUCCCUAGCUGGUCUGAGAGGAUGACCAGCCACACUGGAACUGAGACACGGUCCAG
rnacentral:rRNA from 1 species